rnacentral:rRNA from 1 species
UACGGGGGGGGCAAGCGUUGUUCGGAAUUACUGGGCGUAAAGGGCUCGUAGGCGGCCAACUAAGUCGGAUGUGAAAUCCCCAGGCUCAACCUGGGAACUGCAUCCGAUACUGGAUGGCUUGAAUCCGGGAGAGGGAUGCAGAAUUCCAGGUGUAGCGGUGAAAUGCGUAGAUAUCGGGAGGAACACCGGUGGCGAAGGCGGUUCUCUGGGCCUUACCUGACGCUGAGGAGCGAAAGCGUGGGGAGCGAACAGG